ensembl:lncRNA
GUCACGCACAGAAACUUCAGCAGAGUGCAGCAGGCAGACUGCAGCUGAAUGCUGAAGUCACCAGCUGAGAUGCAGUGUAUCACACACUACCUCUAUCCCUGGAGUGGAGGAACAUUUGCAACUAGAGGUGAAAGAUGACAAUUUCUGGCCAUCUGCUUUUCCCUGAAGGUCAUACCUAGGCAAAGAGACUCUUGCUUUUCCUGCUCAAAUAUUUGUACCCCAUCCUGUUGAGCACAAACACCUGGACACUGAAAAGACUCUGCAGGGUGAGGUAAUUUUGAUACAUAUGAUAUGGGAAGCACUAAAAUGGAGAGUCCAGAACAGAGGCUGGUUUUGAAGAAGUGGACAGCUGCUAAGAAGAGACCAGCAUUUUGGGAGAAAGAAGAAAGGGAAAAAG